GCAGGAACAAACAGGAAGUUGCUCUCCUCUCUGUGGAGACGCUUAGGAGAUGCUGAUCAUCUGUGAAACAGAAAGAGUCCCAAGACUCAAAUUGGAGAUACCAACCACCCACUGGUUAUACCCUGCAGCACAGGAAGCAUCUUGAAGAGAUGAGGAAGGAGAAAGCUGCAGAUCAUAUGGGCAGUAAAUGAGAGGAACUUACAGACCUCAGACUGACAGUGGCUCUGGUCCUCCAUUGGAAGGAAGGAUCCUAACUCAAGAGCAGUUGUGUUCCCAUCUUGGUAUGACCCUUGAGACUAGAAUGGUCAUGCCCCAACUGCUCUAAGAUGAUGCCGGGUAUAUGAGCAUUGUUGAACAUUCCUCUUGGUCUUCCCUGACGUUUUAUGCAUAAUCUCUUUCAUAUUUCUCUUUAAUACAACUUUGCUUGCAUCUA